AGCCUUGUACACACCGCCCGUCAAGUCAUGGGGAGCCGGAAAUAGCCGAAGUUGUCUCACUACUGAGAUACCUACGCUAGGGUUCGGGUGACUGGGAACU
rnacentral:rRNA from 1 species